UGCCUCUGCUGGUGGUUUGUGAGUGAGCCUAGGAUAGGGAGAUGUGGCAUCCACCUGUGCGGUAGUGCAGCUUCUCUCCUUCCUUCAGCCCAGAGCUGGGCUCGUCACAUCCCUGCCCUCUAGAGAGAACAGCCUGCUUGUGCUAGCAGAGAAUGAGCUUUGGCACACAGGCACCCCGUGGUCACCCUUCUCAGACACCAGUGAAUGCCUGCGUGCAUGAGGUCACUGUGCUUCUUGUUUGCACUUUUCUCCUUGCAACACACUGGGCAGAACCAAAUUCUCAUUCCAUGUCUCUGCUUUGAUUGCUGGCUGCUCUCUCUCCUCUCUCCUUGAGCAUAGCAUGUGUAUUUGCCAGUAGAUCAUCCACUUGCACAUUCUUUCCUAUUAUUUUCUGCUUACUUACAAAUCUAGUUAGCUUUAUUUGUUAAACCUGCUAAUUGCCAAGACACCAGAUGUAUCAACUCUUACGAGGAAAACAAAAGAAAGUAAUGUCCUUAUUUACAUCUUUAGUUUACUUUCUAUUAUGAAAACAACUUCUGUGGUUCUGUAGUAUAAAGUCAGUUUCCCUGUGAGCAUCUGACCCCCUCUGGCUAAGAGCUGUCUGUACUGGUUAUGCUUAGGUUUAGGCUUAGGCUUGGAGGUGUCAGAGAUUGCACAGAAGUCAUAAUUUGAGAAUGAUGCAGAUCUAAUUACUUUGUCAGUGUAAACUGAAAAUGUAACAA